AUGAGGACAUCAUUCACCAUCGGGGAGAGCGCGAAUGCAGACCCCCACUACAACAAAUUAUGCAGUCGAGUUUCCCUCACUUGGAGAAAUCGCAGGGGUCAGCACAUCCGGAGUGCAAUGGAUAAGCCUCGACCUGGGAAAACCACCUUCGUGAUCAUGGUAUCUCCCCUGGACAGUAUUUCUCUGCAUAGCCCUGGCUGCUCUGGAACUUGCUCUGUAGACCAUUCUGGUCUUGAACUCAGAGCUUUACCUUCUUUUGCCUCUCAAAUGCUGGAAUUAAAAGCAUGCAUCACCUGUGCCCCAUUAGUAAAAUUAAGUUUUAGUUGAAGUGGCGAAUCAAUAAAACUAUGCUGAAGUUAAUUUGUCUGCACUUCCCUGUGUCAUGGUCAAUGAAAAUCAAGAAGCAAACACUCCUCCUUUGUUUCUGACAAUCUGACAGAUUACCUGGGCUUUUGCACAAGGGUCCAAAGAUCUUAAUAACCUAUCAUAUUGUAUUUAGGUAAUAACUGCUAAUGUUGCAUAUUUGUGGACUGUGUUGUGGUAUUUUACAUGUAUACAUUUUAUAAUGAUCAAAUACAGGUAAUUAUCAUUUCUAUCACCUUAAGCAUCAUCACUUCAUGGUGAAACACUAAAAAAAAAUCCCUCUUUCAGGUACUUUUAACUGUACAAUAUACUGUUGUUAAGUGAUGAAAUACUGUGCAGGUAGAAAGAAAAAC
rnacentral:lncRNA from 1 species